rnacentral:tRNA from 1 species
GGGGGCGUGGCUCAGUUGGGAGAGCGCUGCCUUCGCAAGGCAGAGGCCGGGGGUUCGAAUCCCCCCGUCUCCACCA